rnacentral:rRNA from 1 species
AGUGAACGCUGGCGGUAGGCCUAACAUAUGCAAGUCGAACGGCAGCACAGUAAGAGCUUGCUCUUACGGGUGGCGAGUGGCGGACGGGUGAGGAAUACAUCGGAAUCUACUUUUUCGUGGGGGAUAACGUGGGGAAACUUACGCUAAUACCGCAUACGACCUACGGGAAAAAGCAGGGGAUCUUGGGACCUUGCGCGAUUGAAUGAGCCGAUGUCGGAUUAGCUAGUUGGCGGGGUAAAGGCCCACCAAGGCGACGAUCCGUAGCUGGUCUGAGAGGAUGAUCAGCCACACUGGAACUGAGACACGGUCCAGACUCCUACGGGAGGCAGCAGUGGGGAAUAUUGGACAAUGGGCGCAAGCCUGAUCCAGCCAUACCGCGUGGGUGAAGAAGGCCUUCGGGUUGUAAAGCCCUUUUGUUGGGAAAGAAAAGCAGCAGGUUAAUACCCCGCUGUUCUGACGGUACCCAAAGAAUAAGCACCGGCUAACUUCGUG